GUAGGGCUGAAACGAUUAGUCGACAAUAUCGACAAAAGAAAUGUUGACAAAUAUUUUUGUUGUCGAGUAGUCGUUUUAUUUAUUUUGACCUAAUUUAGAGCCUGCAGUAAUGCGGUUUGACCAGUGUGGCGCUGUAGCGCAAGACUGUAAUUCAGCUCUCCUCGAUGCAAUUCAAGAGAAGAAGAGAAACAGCACUCAGCGCUGCUUCAGAGAAACGCACCCAAGCCGAACAGAAUGGCGUUUAGAUAUGGAAAUAAAUGACACGCGCUUUCCUCUCAAUAACGAAAUAACAACAACAACAAAACUCCCAGCAGUGUGAAAGUAGCAGUUAAAAAUGCAUCUUAUUACACCGAUGUGGAUGUUUGCACGAGCUCAGUAAAGCAUUCACGUCACGUCUAUAGUAUUUAAAUCAAGAAGCUUUACGUCUGGUUCACAGAUGGCCAAGAUAGGUGAACAGCUCAAGAGGGACCUCAAACGGCAACCUACAAGACAACUCAGUUCUACUCCUGCUAGAUAUGAGUCUGAUUCUGAUGACACAUGUUGUGAUAUUUUUGAUCCUCCCAAAAAACGAAAAAUGGUGAUUAACACCAGUGAGGAGGAGGAGGACACCAUCCCUCAGGCGGAGUCUCAGCGGCCAGGGACAGUGCCUGCAGUUUUUGUUGAACUGGAUGAGGACAGUUU